rnacentral:rRNA from 1 species
UACGUAGGGUGCAAGCGUUGUCCGGAAUUAUUGGGCGUAAAGGGCUCGUAGGCGGUCCAUCGCGUCGGGAGUGAAAAGCUGGGGGCUCAACCCCCAGUCCUGCUUCCGAUACGGGUGGACUAGAGGUAUGCAGGGGAGAACGGAAUUCCUGGUGUAGCGGUGAAAUGCGCAGAUAUCAGGAGGAACACCGGUGGCGAAGGCGGGUCUCUGGGCCGAUACUGACGCUGAGGAGCGAAAGCGUGGGGAGCGAACAGG